rnacentral:rRNA from 1 species
UACGGGUGAGGCAAGCGUUGUUCGGAAUCAUUGGGCUUAAAGCGCGUGUAGGCGGCGUCGUAAGUACUUUGUGAAAUCCCUUUUCUCAAUGAAGGAAUUGCUUGGUAUACUGCGGUGCUUGAGGCAGGUAGGGGUGCUUGGAACUCUAGGUGGGGCGGUGAAAUGCGUAGAUAUCUAGAGGAACGCCAGUGGCGAAAGCGGAGCACUGGGCCUGUCCCGACGCUGAGACGCGAAAGCGUAGGUAGCAAACGGG